GCAUUGUUCAAAUUUGACAGCCCUGUAAAAUUAUACCGUGCUUUACUCCAUUUCCAAUUGGCAAUCUGCUAAUUAGGCGGGAAAGCGAUGAGAAACUUAUCAGUCGUAGGAGUCAUUUCACGAGACGACCGUCUUCAACCCCUCUGAGUGCAUUCAACAAACAACUCGAUUUCAACGAGGAAUCUCGAGUAACGAGCUACGUAAUUUACGGCUCGCAGCGUUUCUGUUCGGCGAUAUUGAGGGAAAGCAAAAAGACAGACGUCAAGCGAGCGAAUGGACUCCGUUGGUCAGCUCGUAAAAAGAAACCAACGCCAAAAAAGAACGUAUCCAAACAAUCAAUAGAACCCAUCUUCUCUUUCUCUUAUUGGUUGAAAAGGACCAACAGCUGAAGAAAAUAGAAGGGGAGUGAAUGAACAAGCCUCUUUAACUUAAUAGUAUCCGGUUCAAGGAGUCAAUGAGGUAUCAUCCCGUGCCAAACGCGUCGGCAAGUAAACCGAUACCCAUUUUAUAUUUCCAAAUAACCACUAUGGAUAUAUAGCAACAAGCACUUGACCUUUUCUUUUCUUUUUUUUUUUUGGCAUCAAACCGUCUAACAUUGAAAAAACAAAAGAAUAACCGCCAAGUGACGCCUAUUUCAAUGCACCCCACACACCUGGAUGUAUAGAGAGACUCUUUAAGUAUCUCCAUGGAUCCACCCCUCUUUCGCUAUGGACGAACAGGUAGUCGUCAAGUGCUGACCCCUAUAAUAAUGAGUACAUAGUCUACAUUGAAAAACAAAACAAAAAUAAAACAAAUGUUGAAGUACCUCAGGUCACGAAACGGCGCCUUGUUUAUGAUUCAUUCCGACGACAGAAUGCGAGGGG